rnacentral:lncRNA from 1 species
UUUGAUCUACUUUGCUUGAGAGUGAAAAAUAUGAAAAACAAAAGGAAAGCUUGGAGUUUGCUUCCUUUUUAAUUUGGUACUAUGCAGAAUCUGUUGGAUUUUAUAGACACCAUGUAGAAGAUUAGAAUGCAAACAACUAUAAAUCAAACCAGAAGAGAUCAAAGUCUACUUUGAGAGUCCUGAGCAGCUAUUGAUGAUCGCUGCAGCAAAAUCCUGCAGAAGAAGAAAGUACAAAAAAUGGGGUAGAUCUUCCUCUCCAUCUCCUUCUUGAUGCCUGUCUCCUCAAUGGGAUAGGUGUCCCCUAGGAACGUAGAGACCUUGUUGCCCUUGGAAUUCUCUACAGGCAGAUAUAUAUAGGAAUGGAGUUGAGUCCUAGCCCAUUUAGUAAUGCUAAUGGGUCCACCCAUUACAGAGCCUAUUAACCAAAUCAG